ACAGGAGACCAGGAGCUGACACUCAUGCCACCUGUUUGCUUCCUGGCCCUGUUACUGGCCCCUGAAGAAGCAGAGCCCUGGGGCCUGGGGCCUGGCUUGGGGCUGGGCUGCACAGGUCCCUAGAGGCCUCAGGACAUUGCUGGGGAACGGAAUCUGGGUCUGAUUCCCAGGCGAGCAGAUUGUUCUUUUGAUUAAAGCUACAAUAGGGGAGGGGACAGGGGAGAGCUGGACCCAGAGUCAUCGCUGGGACAGGGGCAGCCAGGCAGGAUUGGGUCCCCUUCUGCAGCCCACAGCCAAUCCACUCCUCACAGCGGUCCUGCGGUUACUGCUGAAGGGACCACCCCACUAAGACAUCAGAGUGGGGGUGCUUAUCUCCAUCCUCUUCCUCCACAACUGAGCCCCACACCCCUUUAACAGCCUUCUCUCCCUCUGUCACCAGCCUUUUCCACUUGGUUCUUCCUGCCAGUGUGGAGUGACAAAGACAGUCGCUACAGUAGCUGCCACCUCUAGAGGCUUCCCCUGUGUCCCUUUCAAACUUUUAACCUUUCCAGCCUCUACUCCAGGACUGAACUGCCCCACCUACAGACCAGACCCUGAAGCUGGUUCGGAUCAAGGGUGGUACAAUGGGCAAGGGGCGAGGUUGGAUUCAAGCCAGACCACAGGGUGACCCUCCAGGCACAUGAAUCUGCUAGUCACAGAGGCUGGAUCGCUGCCACCAUCCCCAGAGGUCGAUUAGCGUGCGAACACCUGCCAAGGACCAGAGCUCAGCCACAAGAGAAACAAGAACACCGAGGAGGUCCAGCCAACGGCCAACAGCCAUCAACAGGAUGAAGAGGCCCCCCAUGCGCACCAGCACCGUCUGGACCUGGCCCUGUAGGCUGAAGCGAUGCUGCCGCUGCUCCUCUGCAGGAAUUGUUUGUCACUGUGGCAGCCGGCACCCUCUGGAGGUCAGCUGGGGCCAGCCUGUUCCACUUUUCAAUGCCUCCCCCAGAGACAGUAUCGCCUUCCCCUUCCCAGACUGCCUUUCCACAUCCUGGCUUCCCUCUCUGGGCACUCACAAGAUGUACAGCCCACCCUUAAGUCUCCCUCUGGCUUGAGGGCAGAGCCCUUUCCAGUUGGUGACAAAGACCGAGAUUCUCCCCUUUGUG